AAUGAUAGUUGCAGUUGUGAGUGCGUAAGCGGCGUACAAUCACUUUGAAAAAAGUAAAUAAAUACGGGACUCACAUGAAAAAAAUUAAUUUUUUAAUAGUGAAUUCCACUCUUUUUCAAAGUGCCUGCACGACGCUUGUGUACUCCACGACUGCAUGUAGUAUUACUCUUUUGUAAAAUAUUUUAUUAAACUUUUAUUUU